rnacentral:rRNA from 1 species
CACGUAGGGCGCAAGCGUUGUCCGGAAUUAUUGGGCGUAAAGAGCUCGUAGGCGGUCUGUUGCGUCCGCGUGUGAAAACUCGGGGCUUAACCCCGAGCCUGCAGUGGAUACGGGCAGACUAGAGGUAGGUAGGGGAGAAUGGAAUUCCCGGUGUAGCGGUGAAAUGCGCAGAUAUCGGGAGGAACACCGGUGGCGAAGGCGGUUCUCUGGGCCUUACCUGACGCUGAGGAGCGAAAGCGUGGGGAGCGAACAGGAUUGAGAA